CAAUAGCGUAUAUUAAAGUUGUUGCAGUUAAAAAGCUCGUAGUUGGAUUUCUGUCGAGGACGGAUGUCCACCUCAUUGGUUGGCACUGAAGGCCUUGGCAUCCUUCUGGAGAACGUAUCUGCACUUGAUUGUGUGGUGCGGUAUCCAGGACUUUUACUUUGAAGAAAUUAGAGUGUUCAAAGCAGGCAUUCGCCUUGAAUACCUCAGCAUGGAAUAAUAACAUAGGACUUUAGUUCUAUCUUAUUGGUUCAUAGAACUGAAGUAAUGAUUAAUAGGGAUAGUUGGGGGCAUUCGUAUUUAACUGUCAGAGGUGAAAUUCUUGGAUUUGUUAAAGACGAACUACUGCGAAAGCAUUUGCCAAGGAUGUUUUCAUUAA
rnacentral:rRNA from 1 species